GCUGGCGUAGCGCAACGGUAGCGCAGCGGUUUUGUAAACCGCGGGUUGAAGGUUCAAAUCCUUUCGCCAGCU
rnacentral:tRNA from 1 species